GAUGAACGCUAGCUACAGGCUUAACACAUGCAAGUCGAGGGGCAGCAUGAACAAAGCUUGCUUUGUUUGAUGGCGACCGGCGCACGGGUGCGUAACACGUAUCCAAUCUGCCCGCGGCUCGGGGAUAGCCCAUCGAAAGAUGGAUUAAUACCCGAUGGUGUGGUUUCUCCGCAUGGGGGUUUCCACUAAAGGUUUUCCGGCCGCGGAUGAGGAUGCGUAUGAUUAGGUAGUAGGCGGGGUAACGGCCCACCUAGCCUUCGAUCAUUAGGGGUUCCUGAGAGGAAGGUCCCCCANACUGGAACUGAGACACGGUCCAGACUCCUACGGGAGGCAGCAGUGAGGAAUA
rnacentral:rRNA from 1 species